rnacentral:rRNA from 1 species
UACGUAGGGUGCAAGCGUUAAUCGGAAUUACUGGGCGUAAAGCGUGCGCAGGCGGUUAUGUAAGGCAGAUGUGAAAUGCCCGGGCUUAACCUGGGAACUGCAUUUGUGACUGCAUGGCUAGAGUUUGGCAGAGGGGGGUAGAAUUCCACGUGUAGCAGUGAAAUGCGUAGAUAUCCGGAGGAACACCGGUGGCGAAGGCGGCUUCCUGGACCGACACUGACGCUGAGGCGCGAAAGCUAGGGGAGCAAACGGG